GCCGCCGGGGCGGCCCUGGAGAUCGGGCCGCUGUGGACGGUCCCGGCCGCGCAGGCGAUGGUCUCGCUGCUGGCGGCG
rnacentral:tRNA from 1 species